AGAGUCUAGACGGAGCCCGCCCGGGUAGAGCCUCAAGAUGGCGCCUGCCCGUGUAGAAGGUCAAGAUGGUGCUCACCCGGGAAGAGAGGCUGUGGCCAGUCUGCGGCCCCGGCUGUGUCUUGGCUCGGGUGCCGUCCCCUCGGACUGAGUCCGGCGGGUGAGCAGUGAGCCUCGUCCGCGGAGAGUCCCAGCGCUCCUGGAUCGGCAGCUGGGUCAGCUGACAAGGCUGAGACUGUCUUCAGAAAUGUGCCUAUCAUUUAGAGGAUGCAAGAGUCCGAGCCCAUGUGCGUGGAACAGCAUGAAGCAGGACCUGCUUGAGGUCCGAAAGCAACGGAAGCUGCUGCUGCUGCUUCAGAGUGCGUCUCCUGUGUUCCCUGUGAGAACAAGCCUGCUGGUGCAGG